rnacentral:rRNA from 1 species
AUCCAGCCAUGCCGCGUGUGUGAAGAAGGCCUUAUGGUUGUAAAGCACUUUGAAGCGAGGAGGAGGAGCUCUAUGGUUAAUACCUAAGAUGCAGUGGACGUUACUCGCAGAAUAAGCACCGGCUAACUCUGUGCCAGCAGCCGCGGUAAUACAGAGGGUGCGAGCGUUAAUCGGAUUUACUGGGCGUAAAGCGUACGUAGGCGGCUUUUGAAGUCGGAUGUGAAAUCCCUGAGCUUAACUUGAGGAAUUGCAUUCGAUACUGGGAAGCUAGAGUAUGGGAGAGGAUGGUAGAAUUCCAGGUGUAGCGGUGAAAUGCGUAGAGAUCUGGAGGAAUACCGAUGGCGAAGGCAGCCAUCUGGCCUAAUACUGACGCUGAGGUACGAAAGCAUGGGGAGCAAACAGGAUUAGAUACCCUGGUAGUCCAUGCCGUAAACGAUGUCUACUAGCCGUUGGGGCCUUUGAGGCUNUAGUGGCGCAGCUAACGCGAUAAGUAGACCGCCUGGGGAGUACGGUCGCAAGACUAAAACUCA